rnacentral:sRNA from 1 species
AACUAGCCCCGAUUGCAGCGACAUCCUUUUUCUCAAUGGCUUUAAAAAAAAGCGUUGGCGAAAAAGAUAUAGCGGAAAGCGGGAUCAAGC